rnacentral:lncRNA from 1 species
AAUUAUGUCUGCAUGGUAAAUCACUAAAUCAACAACAUAUGCUGAAUUCUGUUCUUGUUGACCAUAAGUUCUGAUAGUGAUCUUAAAUAGAAGUUUUCUCCCAAUCAAAUCAGUUAGAGAUUGAGGUAGAAAAUGUGGAUUUUCCUGUAAAACAAAUAUACAUCUUUCAAAGAAUAUAUAGAAAUGAAUUUUUCUUAAUUCCCCCUAAAUUAAAAAAUGAAGGAAAUACCUGAGCAGCCUCUUGGACUAACUCAAAC